UCCAAAAUAUUGCUUUGUGGACAGUACAUUAAAGUUAUUCGAAUAUCAUAAACAUCUCUUCUACUGAUCCAGACAGCGUCUUCGUUCCGGAUUUAAACGCUUUAUCACCUUCUCACUUGAGAGCUCAAGCUGCGGUAUUUCUGACACUCAUCAGCUAAUUACCCCGACAGAAAUGCGUCAAUAACUCAUUAAUUGGACCCAGCGUUCCUGUUGGAGGAGCAUCACCUGCGCGUGUCUGUCACACAGGUCGGUUAAUUGAUUUCGGCAAGCGGGGAGCAGGUGUGUGCACAGCGCCAUGUAAUGCGGAACUAAUCCGAAUCGUCCGUCCGCUAUCGAUUAAGCAGCCUGAGACAAACUGAUAAGACUCAGGCUACAACAGGAAGCUCGCGCUGCAGAGUGUCGUGAAUUCACUCAGGACCGUUUGCCGAGGCUGUGGAUUACAGUGACGGCACCCAUUGACUUCCAUUAUAUGAAUCAUCGAGGACCACGGUUUAAGCUUAAAAAUCUUCUUUACUGUUAUACUGAAGAAAAAAAGUCAUCUACAUCUUGGAUGGCCUGAGGAACACAAUUAAGCAAUUACCCAUGAGCAAGAGUGCUGUCGUUCUGAAUAUGAGCUUGUGCCGCAGAUGUAUUGUCCCAGGUUUGACGUCAGUGACAUCAGACGUGGCAUUUUGGAACGUGUGCAGCAAGGAUCAAACCCUGAUGAGCCAUCACCACUGCGCCCUUGAUUACUCCAGGGAUUACCCAGAACACACCGCUGCGCUGUUAGACUGACCCCAUUCUGACUACAAACGCCUCAAGAGCAGAAAGAACAACCUGAAACCUGAGAAAUAUUAAGUUAAACUGGUCCUCAAACAGAAUGGUACAGGAAAGAGCGAACAGUAUAGAUAAACCUCUGAGCACCUUCAUUUUUGGGUCAAACUUGGUACCUGGAAAUGUAACUUUUUUUCUUCUUCAGGAAAAUCAAUGUAAUAUAUUUUUGUUCAAUAAUAUUUUUUAAUUGUUAUUUAGAAUUUUGAGAUGAUUUUAUGAUACUAUGCAAUAUUUAUA